rnacentral:lncRNA from 1 species
GGAAAAUUUUUUAAGUCUUGAGGAAAUAGAGGGAACUUCCAUAUUCCUUAAUGGAAAGAGGAUAUAUAAUGAGUGGGGUUUUUUUUUUUUCUUGUCUUCAUACAGUUUCCAUCAAGCUAGUUUGUUUGGGGUAUGAUUAAAUGAUCUUGGAAGUUUAUCAUAAAAAAUAAAGAUGAAAGUAACUAAGAAAAAUUGAAAAAGUAAUGACGAAGAAGUACCUAGCAGUAUAAAACUAGUUUCUAAUGUGACGCUGCAAGUUGGUAAUUAGAUUAGUACAGAUUCAAUAAUGGAUAUAUACAUGGAACAGAACAGCCAGAAACAGGCUUUAUGUAAGUGAAAGAUUCUGUAAAUUAUAAUUUUUACUUACGUGGGAGAUGGGAAAGAAUUAGAUAUUUGCCAGAGUAAAUUCUGUGUACAUUCACUGUUUGGCUUUGUUUUCUUUUUUUAAUUAAAGUUUCUAUAGCGCUCUGAACUGAUAGAG